rfam:Caprimulgus carolinensis contig106790, whole genome shotgun sequence.
UAUUGUGGUGUUUUCUGUAUUUGGCAGCUCUGCAAUGGUAUCAGAGCGGCCUUAAACUACCACAGAGAUCAAAAAGGAGAAGGCUGUGCUGAAAACUUUCAAGCUUUCAGUUUUCAGCUUUUUGUUCAGCUCCUACAGAA